CGCGAAUGGCUCAUUACAACAGCUAACAAAUCUACUUGAUCUUGACACGAUCCUACUUGGAUAACUGUGGUAAUUCUAGAGCUAAUACAUGCAUUAAAGCUCUGACCUUCGGGGAAGAGUGCAUUUAUUAGAGCAAAACCAAGCGGCUUCGGCUGUUUUCGGUUGACUCAUAGUAACUGAGCUGAUCGCAUGGUCUUGCACCGGCGACGUGUCUUUCGAGUAUCUGCCGUAUCAACUUUCGAUGGUAGUGUAUCUGACUACCAUGGUGAUCACGCGUAACGGAGAAUAAGGGUUCGACUCCGGAGAGUUCGCCUGAGAAAUCGCGAACACAUCUAAGGAAGGCAGCAGGCGCGAAAAUUACCCACUCUCAGCACGAGGAGGUAGUGACGAAAAAUAACGAGACCGUUCUCUUAUGAGGCCGGUCAUCGGAAUGGGUACAAUUUAAACCCUUUAACGAGUAUCUAUGAGAGGGCAAGUCUGGUGCCAGCAGCCGCGGUAAUUCCAGCU
rnacentral:rRNA from 1 species